rnacentral:rRNA from 1 species
GACGAACGCUGGCGGCGCGCUUAACACAUGCAAGUCGAGCGAUGAAGUUGCUAAAGAAUCUUUCGGGAGGAAAUAGUAAUGGAUUAGCGGCGGACGGGUGAGUAACACGUGAGUAACCUACCUUUGACAUAGGGAUAGCCUCGGGAAACCGGGAUUAAUACCAAAUGACAUUUAACUAUCGCAUGAUAGAUAAAUCAAAGUGCUUAGCGGUCAAAGAUGGACUCGCGUCCCAUUAGCUAGUUGGUGAGGUAGAGGCUCACCAAGGCGACGAUGGGUAGCCGGCCUGAGAGGGUGAACGGCCACAUUGGAACUGAGAAACGGUCCAAACUCCUACGGGAGGCAGCAGUGGGGAAUAUUGCACAAUGGGGGAAACCCUGAUGCAGCGACGCCGCGUGAGCGAAGAAGGUUUUCGAAUCGUAAAGCUCUGUCCUAUGGGAAGAUAAUGACGGUACCAUAGGAGGAAGCCCCGGCUAACUACGUGCCAGCAGCCGCGGUAAUACGUAGGGGGCUAGCGUUGUCCGGAAUCACUGGGCGUAAAGGGUUCGCAGGCGGAAAUGCAAGUCAUAUGUGAAAGGCAUGGGCUCAACCCAUGUAAGCAUGUGAAACUGCAUAUCUUGAGAUGUGGAGAGGCAAGUGGAAUUCCUAGUGUAGCGGUGAAAUGCGUAGAUAUUAGGAGGAAUACCGGUGGCGAAGGCGACUUGCUGGACACAAACUGACGCUGAGGAACGAAAGCGUGGGUAGCAAACAGGAUUAGAUACCCUGGUAGUCCACGCCGUAAACGAUGAGUGCUAGGUGUUGGGGGAGACCUCGGUGCCGCAGUUAACACAAUAAGCACUCCGCCUGGGGAGUACGUGCGCAAGCAUGAA